ACGAGUUUGAUCAUGGCUCAGAACGAACGCUGGCGGCAGGCUUAACACAUGCAAGUCGAGCGCCCCGCAAGGGGAGCGGCAGACGGGUGAGUAACGCGUGGGAACCUACCCUUUCCUACGGAACAACACGGAGAAAUCUGUGCUAAAUACCGUAUACGCCCUUUGGGGGAAAGAUUUAUCGGGGAAGGAUGGGCCCGCGUCCGAUUAGCUAGUUGGUGGGGUAAUGGCCUACCAAGGCGACGAUCGGUAGCUGGUCUGAGAGGAUGAUCAGCCACAUUGGGACUGAGACACGGCCCAAACUCCUACGGGAGGCAGCAGUGGGGAAUAUUGGACAAUGGGCGCAAGCCUGAUCCAGCCAUGCCGCGUGAGUGAUGAAGGCCUUAGGGUUGUAAAGCUCUUUCACCCGGGACGAUAAUGACGGUACCGGGAGAAGAAGCCCCGGCUAACUUCGUG
rnacentral:rRNA from 1 species